UACGUAGGGGGCAAGCGUUGUCCGGAAUUAUUGGGCGUAAAGAGCGCGUAGGCGGUCCGGUAAGUCGGUUGUGAAAGUCGGGGGCUCAACCCUCGGAUGCCGAUCGAUACUGUCGGGCUAGAGUCCGGAAGAGGCGAGUGGAAUUCCUGGUGUAGCGGUGAAAUGCGCAGAUAUCAGGAAGAACACCCGUGGCGAAGGCGGUUCUCUGGAACGCAACUGACGCUGAGACGCGAAAGCGUGGGGAGCAAACAGG
rnacentral:rRNA from 1 species